CCCCUAGAUGUUCUGGGCCGCACGCGCGCUACACUGAACAGUUCAACAAGUCUUAACCUUGGCCGAUAGGUCUGGGUAAUCUUUGAACGCUGUUCGUGAUUGGGAUAGACCUUUGCAAUUAUGGGUCUUCAACGAGGAAUUCCUAGUAAACGCAAGUCAUCAGCUUGCAUUGAUUACGUCCCUGCCCUUUGUACACACCGCCCGUCGCACCUACCGAUUGAAUGGUCCGGUGAAGCCUCGGGAUUGUGGUUGGUUUCCUUUAUUGGAGGUCGAUUGCGAGAACUUGUCUAAACCUUAUCAUUUAGAGGAAGGUGAAGUCGUAACA
rnacentral:rRNA from 1 species